UACGAAGGGGGCUAGCGUUGUUCGGAAUUACUGGGCGUAAAGCGCGUGUAGGCGGUUGCCCAAGUCGGGUGUGAAAGCCUUGAGCUCAACUCAAGAAAUGCACUCGGUACUGGGUGACUAGAGGACCGGAGAGGAUAGUGGAAUUCCCAGUGUAGUGGUGAAAUACGUAGAGAUUGGGAAGAACACCAGUGGCGAAGGCGGCUAUCUGGACGGUUUCCGACGCUAAGACGCGAAAGCGUGGGGAGCAAACAGG
rnacentral:rRNA from 1 species